AUUUUUAUUAUAUAUAACCAAUCAAAUAUAUAUAUACAUAUAUAUAUAUAAAUUUGUAAUAAGAAGGUGCUUAAAAUCCUCAUUUUCAUUUAAUCUCAUUUAUACGAUUCUAUUUUUAAAUUUUAAAAAAAAAAGAAACAAAAAUUUAAAUAAAAAUACUUUAAAAAUCAAAACCAAAAAAAAAUUAAAACCCUACCUACCCCACCCCCACUCAGCCGACAAACUCUCUCUCUCCCUCCCCCCCUUCUUUCUUUUUCUUCUUUCUUCCUUACCCAACCCCACCGACUCCCCCACCCCCCUCUUUUCUUUCUUUUUCUUCCUUCUUUCUCUUCCAGGCGCUCCACCGACUCCCUCCCCCCCCCC
rnacentral:lncRNA from 1 species